AGGGCACCACCAGGAGUGGAGCCUGCGGCUUAAUUUGACUCAACACGGGAAAACUCACCCGGCCCGGACACCGUAAGGAUUGACAGAUUGAGAGCUCUUUCUUAAUUCGGUGGGUGGUGGUGCAUGGCCGUUCUUAGUUGGUGGAGCGAUUUGUCUGGUUAAUUCCGAUAACGAACGAGACUCUGGCCUAUUAAAUAGACGAGAUAUUAAAAAGUAUAUCGCACUUCUUAGAGGGACAAGCGGCGUCUAGUCGCGUGAAAAAGAGCAAUAACAGGUCUGUGAUGCCCUUAGAUGUCCGGGGCUGCACGCGCGCUACACUGAAAGAACCAGUGUGCGUUUUACCUAGUUCGGAAGAACCGGGUAACCCAAGUAAAUUCUUUCGUGCUUGGGAUAGGGAAUUGCAAUUAUUUCCCUUAAACGAGGAAUUCCCAGUAAAUGCGGGUCAUAAGCUCGCGUUGAUUACGUCCCUGCCCUUUGUACACACCGCCCGUCGCUACUACCGAUUGGAUGACUUAGUGA
rnacentral:rRNA from 1 species